GGAUCCCGGGCGGGCGCGCGAGGAGCGGUGCGUCCGAGCAGCCCCUUCCUCUGAGCUAGGCCCCGGCAGCGGUCGCCGGGGCGGAAGCGGGUGCUGCCAGUGCGCCCCGGCCCGGGCCCAGAGCUCCCCGUGAGCCCAGGGAGGUGCGUCUCUGCGUGGUUGAAACAGGAGCCUCAGGAUUUCCAGUGGGAAGAGUGGAUUAUUCAUCCAUUUUAUGGAGGAACCAUGGGCUCAGAGUCAUGGGCUCAGCCUGUCCGACUGCAGCGCCUGGAACAGGGUGCCAAGGAGACAGCCCCCCGUAUGGGGCCCAUCCCCAGAGGUGUGGUCCCCAGCGCCAAGCCAACAGGUACUUCCACUAUCAGGCUUAGCUGAAGACACAUCUUCAUCCUCCAUCUGCUUUAUGCAGCGGCCUUUAAAAUCCUAUCCUUGAGACGUCAAUGCCAAGGACUGAACCAUGGGAUGUUACCUCUUCUUCCCGAGGCUCCAUGGUGGCUGGUGUGCUCAUCCAGGUCUGGGUUACUCAGAACUCUACACUUACAAGAGUAUAAGCAGAAUGUCAGGGGGGCCAAGGGUGGGGAGACAAAGGCAAGGUGUUGGGCGGGUGCUGGCUUGUCUGCUCUGGGAGCACUGACAGGCAGAGGACCACAGGCCACAAAAGCUCCAGAGACAACAGCUGUCCCAGGGAUUCGGGUUGGCCUGCCCCAGCCCACUGGGCCCAGCACCCAACUGUGGGGCCUGGACUGCAGGUGCCCGUUGGCCUCUUGAGUUGGCUAGCUGGGCUCAAACCCAGUUCUGCCAUCAUGAGACGUAGCCUAGCGAAGGUGCUUCCCCUGCUCCUGCCUCAGUUCCUCAUGGAAGUCCUCGGAAGACAGACCUGCAAAGCACCCAAUAAACACCAACUGCUGUUGCCAUCUCCGCAGAGCCUUUCCCCGGGCUGCACACUGCACCUGCACACUGCUCCCGUAACUGGCCCCUGGGGUGGCUGGGCCCAAACCACCUGCCUCGGGGGUAACUCAGGUCUGCCAGGGGUCCCUCCUUCCCUGGCAGAUGCUGCUUGCUUUCUCCUCUUUAGGGGCGACACAGAUCACAGCUCAGGACACCCAUGUGUGUUUCCCACCUGGAGGAUGAAGGUGCUUCCCGAGACCCUGCAGGCCAAGAGGUCCAGUCCCAGGUCCUGCCCAACCCACUCGGCCCCGCGGAGCAUGUCCUGCCCCAGAGGGUCUGGGAGGUGGUCUCUGGGACAGUCUGGCUCUUGCUGGUCCGCAGGGGAGGGGUUGUGCUACUCAGGCCUCCGCACGGCCAGUGGAAUGGCGAGCACGCGAGCCGUGCAGCGUGAGAUACCAGUGACCUCUUUAUUUUUGGCUGUGUCAGUGGCUGCCCAGGGCAUGUAACAGUCAGAGUGGGCACUGGGCUGCAGGCAGGCACUGACCCUUGGGUUCACGCUGACCCAGAAGGGGACAUGCGGGGAUGGGAAGUGGCCAGGGGUCCAAUUCGUACCGUGCCAAGGGCCGGGGUGGCUCAGAGGCCCCAGACACGGGUGGAUGCCCUGGGGGUGCCUGGGCUCCAGAGGAGAAUGGAGUGAUCAAUGCCCAAUAAGUAAACAGCACAGUUUCAGACCACCUAGGCCCCAGCCCUUGGGUGGGAGGCAGGGUAUGGGGCCAGGCCCUCUUCUUGACUAACAAGCCACUGGUGCUGGAAGCUGACUGUCACAGGGAUGGGAAGGGAGAGAAACCAGACCUGCCCUCUGCCAGGCCCAAGGCGCCCUCCCUACCGCUGAGUUGCUGGGGCUGAGGACCAUGUGUACCGGCCCCAAGGGGAGUCCACAGCUCUGAUGUUCGUGCACAGAGCCUCUCAGGCUGAGACAAGAAAGAGAUGGGCCUACUUCCUAGGAGCUGGUGCCUCUGAGGAACAGCGGUGUCUCAAGUCCCUGGGCCAGAUGUCAGGUUAGGGCAAGUGUGAGAGCUACACAGCCCCACCACAGCUGGCCUAGUGCCCCCCUCCCCCCAGCAGGUGACUCCUGGACGGUCCUCGGCAGGUCCUGUCCUCCUCUACUUGCCCAGGGCCCCCCGGGGCAGUAGCUCCACGUAGUUCAGGGCACUCUGUAGUGACGUCAGGCAGUAGCCCUCCUCUCCAAUCAGGUACCUGUGGAGAGGUGGGCCCAGGCAGCAUCUGUCACCUCCAGGGGAUGCAAGGAGGCCCCCAGCACUUUGGAAGGGGUGUCUGCCCUCAUGGGGCAGGACCUGGAUGCUGAGGUCCCACAGGGGUCUGUCAGGGAGGCUGGGCUAGAGGAUAGCCCACUCCCCAGGCAGAUGCUGCUCAAGGGAUGGCCCCCCCACCCAGGUCCUGUCCAAGCAGUAUGCUGAGCAAGGGGAAGUGGGAAGGGACUGGCAGAGGGGACCAUGGGCCAUGUGCGCAGGUGGACCCCCGACCUGGGAGCACGUGCUCAGUGCACCAUGCUGGCCUGACUCCAGCCGGGGGCUCCUACCCCUCAUGGAUGAACUCCUCCAGGGCUGCACACUCUGACACCAACUGGGGGAGACCGCUUCUCAGCACCACAAAGGACAAGAUGGGCAGCAGGUCGUCAGCACCGCUGUUGGGCAGAGGCACGGCUGGCCGCUCAGGACACCAGGAUUGGAGGGAAAGGAUACUGUCUCCUCCCGGGCUUUGGCGAUCACAAGGUUCUCCAUCAUCUGCCGCUGCAGAGACAGGGUCUCGGAGAGGAAGGAGAAGAUAAGGCCUACUCCUCUUCCACCACCAGCCCAGACCCUCCCGGAGACCCACUCACCAGGGAUGUCUUCUGCAUGGCCUGGCUGGGGUCCAGACGGGCCAUCCGUGCCUCGUAGGCAGCCUUCAGCUUCUGAUUCUGCAGAGAGGCCUCCUCCAGAGGUGUCAGCUCCCUGGAAAUAGUGACGAGCUGCUGUCCAGGCCCCAGGAAGCUCUGGAAUGCUCUGGUGACCUGAAGACCCUCCCUGAGUGUGCCCUGAGACC